rnacentral:rRNA from 1 species
GUGGGGAUAUUGCACAAUGGGCGAAAGCCUGAUGCAGCCAUGCCGCGUGUAUGAAGAAGGCCUUCGGGUUGUAAAGUACUUUCAGUUGUGAGGAAGGGUGUGUAGUUAAUAGCUGCGCAUCUUGACGUUAGCAACAGAAGAAGCACCGGCUAACUCCGUGCCAGCAGCCGCGGUAAUACGGAGGGUGCGAGCGUUAAUCGGAAUUACUGGGCGUAAAGCGCAUGCAGGUGGUUCAUUAAGUCAGAUGUGAAAGCCCGGGGCUCAACCUCGGAACUGCAUUUGAAACUGGUGAACUAGAGUGCUGUAGAGGGGGGUAGAAUUUCAGGUGUAGCGGUGAAAUGCGUAGAGAUCUGAAGGAAUACCAGUGGCGAAGGCGGCCCCCUGGACAGACACUGACACUCAGAUGCGAAAGCGUGGGGAGCAAACAGGAUUAGAUACCCUGGUAGUCCACGCCGUAAACGAUGUCUACUUGGAGGUUGUGGCCUUGAGCCGUGGCUUUCGGAGCUAACGCGUUAAGUAGACCGCCUGGGGAGUACGGUCGCAAGAUUAAAACUCAAAUGAAUUGACGGGGGCC